UUGUCCAUCGGCUUCCACUCUGGGCUGCGGCGGCACUCGGGGGCCGAGCCCCGUGUAGAGCGGGACCCGGGUCCGCCUCUACCUCAGUGAGACCAAAAGUUCCUAAAAGGCAGACUGUGCACUGAGUCCUGACCUACAGAAAUUAAUUCUGUGAAAGGAUCACUCCAUGAGAAUAAGGACCAAGAAAAGAAUGUAUCCUGAUGAACAUUUCAAAUGGUUCAUCAAUGGGAGAGCCCCAAGGCUAUCUUUCCAAGGUGGUAAGAUGCACCUUCUGUCCACUCUACACUGAGGCCCACUGGUGGCGUUAUUGCCUCUUCCCUUACCCCAGUGCCUUCCUCUCCUACCCCCGAAAUGCUGCACUCUACCUGGAAUACUACAUCCUGAGCUAGGAAGAGCCUCUUCCUUCUACAGUUUUGAGGAUGGUUUUGAUGGUGGAUUGAACUGCCUCUUAUUUACUCAGAUCUCAUGUGCCUAGCUUCUCUGUGAAAGGACCUACCAAGAUGGAGGAAAAGGACUCUCAGAAUUAAUAUUUAAUCUUUAAACAAAUACACUUGCAUGAUACGUCACAUCCCUGCCAAUUUAAAAAGACCUGUUGGUCCACCUAGGCUUGAGCUGUUCAAAGUGUGAUCUAUGGACUAGUAGCCUUGACUUCCCCCAGGAGGUUGUUGGAAAUGAAGAGUAUCAGACUCCCUAGCCUCACACCUACAGAGUCAGAAUCUGCAUUUUAAUAAGAUUUCAGAGUAAAGUAGAUGUACAUCUAGUUUGAGAAGCAUUGUUCUAAGAGAACUAAAAUAAAGAAUCCAUUUUCAUCUUGUGCAGUUUUUGCCAUUUGGGUAUUUUUUGCUUGACCAGGUUUUGGAAGAAGUAGAAUGGAGUGGGGGUGAAUGAUGGAACAUUUAGUCCAUUGAGAUAUUGGCUCUAAUCUUAGCUAAGUCAAGUUUUAGGUGUGAAGUUUUCUGUACAAUAAUUAAGAGAAAUAAAAAGGAUUGGAUUUUUAUUUCACUGAAUACUACUGAUGUGGAACAAGCAAAUGUAAAAAUCAAGAGGAUCAAGUAUCUCUAUAUUCAAUAAAUUAAAAAGUGCUUUGCUGCAGUAAA